rnacentral:RNase_P_RNA from 1 species
CGAGGCGGACGGGUGACCGCCGACCUAAUACGCGGUUGGAGGAAAGUCCGGGCUCCACAGAGCAGGGUGCUGGGUAAUCCCCAGUCGGGGCGACCCGAAGGAAAGUGCCACAGAAAUAACACCGCCAGGCCGAGUUAGUCUCUAGAGAGUGCGCGCCGCGCGUGCCCGGCCGGAGAGGCUCGGUCGGGUAAGGGUGAAAUGGUGGGGUAAGAGCCCACCGGCGGCCGGGUGACCGGCCGGCCAGGUAAACCCCGCCCGGAGCAAGACCAAAUAGGAGGGCGUUCACGGCGGCUCGCCGAGCCCUCGGGUAUCGGUCGCUAGAGGUGCCGGGCAACCGGCUCCCCAGACAGAUGGUCACCGUCCCGCAAGGGAUACAGAACCCGGCUUACAGUCCGCCCUCGACCC